UUUUGUUUCCAGGUAGGACAGAGUGUCCAUCUCUACUGAAAGCUGUUGUUUGGCAUUUACUGUGAGACAAGUCACAUUUACCUGAGCGGAGAAGAGUAUCUAAAAACCUGAAAUCAGAGCGCUCUGACAAUGUGAUGUUUGUCGCAGACGGGUAUUGACCUCCUUUGUACAUAUAUGUCUACAGCUUCUCAGAUUUGACCGAAGACAGUUUUUCGGUGUUGGGAAUGGAUGUUGUUCGGCCAAAGGCCUUCCAGUCACACAGAAGAUCAUGGUUCGGUCACACGAAGGGUCACUUCCAUUGAUAUUAGCACAGGAGUCUGAAAUUCUAUCAAUAAGACCAUAGAAGUCUAUCUUUACAAAA